AGUGAACGCUGGCGGUAGGCCUAACACAUGCAAGUCGAACGGCAGCACAGUAAGAGCUUGCUCUUACGGGUGGCGAGUGGCGGACGGGUGAGGAAUACAUCGGAAUCUACUUUUUCGUGGGGGAUAACGUAGGGAAACUUACGCUAAUACCGCAUACGACCUACGGGUGAAAGCAGGGGAUCUUCGGACCUUGCGCGAUUGAAUGAGCCGAUGUCGGAUUAGCUAGUUGGCGGGGUAAAGGCCCACCAAGGCGACGAUCCGUAGCUGGUCUGAGAGGAUGAUCAGCCACACUGUAACUGAGACACGGUCCAGACUCCUACGGGAGGCAGCAGUGGGGAAUAUUGGACAAUGGGCGCAAGCCUGAUCCAGCCAUACCGCGUGGGUGAAGAAGGCCUUCGGGUUGUAAAGCCCUUUUGUUGGGAAAGAAAAGCAGCAGGUUAAUACCCCGCUGUUCGGACGGUACCCAAAGAAUAAGCACCGGCUAACUUCGU
rnacentral:rRNA from 1 species